CUUUGAAUCUUCCUGCCAGUUCAGCCACGGAGCGUCGGGGCGGAGCGUCCUCCUGAGGGACGGACAGAGGGUGUCAGGUGAACUUCAGGUCUUCUGACCAAUCACAGCUGGCGGUUUGUCCUCUGAGCGGGAGGACGUGGUUGGACGGAGGAGCGAAGACGGCAGGAGGAAACGCAGCGCUGUGAAGGAGGAAACCUUAUAAGGUGCAGCAGCAGAAUUUAACCCCUCACAGACCAGCUGCUUCCUGUCUCCAGUCUGUGCCGCCACCUGCUGGUUAACCUUCAGACGUCUCUGUGUCUGCAGCAGCUGACAUUUCAG